rnacentral:rRNA from 1 species
UAGGGAAUCUUCGGCAAUGGACGAAAGUCUGACCGAGCAACGCCGCGUGAGUGAAGAAGGUUUUCGGAUCGUAAAACUCUGUUGUUAGAGAAGAACAAGGACGUUAGUAACUGAACGUCCCCUGACGGUAUCUAACCAGAAAGCCACGGCUAACUACGUGCCAGCAGCCGCGGUAAUACGUAGGUGGCAAGCGUUGUCCGGAUUUAUUGGGCGUAAAGCGAGCGCAGGCGGUUUCUUAAGUCUGAUGUGAAAGCCCCCGGCUCAACCGGGGAGGGUCAUUGGAAACUGGGAGACUUGAGUGCAGAAGAGGAGAGUGGAAUUCCAGGUGUAGCGGUGAAAUGCGUAGAUAUAUGGAGGAACACCAGUGGCGAAGGCGGCUCUCUGGUCUGUAACUGACGCUGAGGCUAGAAAGCGUGGGGAGCAAACAGG